rnacentral:rRNA from 1 species
UACGUAGGCAGCGAGCGUUGUUCGGAGUUACUGGGCGUAAAGAGUGCGUAGGCGGUUUUCUAAGUUUGGUGUGAAAUCUCCCGGCUUAACUGGGAGGGUGCGCCGAAGACUGGAAGGCUUGAGUAUGGGAGAGGUAAGCGGAAUUCCUGGUGUAGCGGUGAAAUGCGUAGAUAUCAGGAGGAACACCUGCGGUGUAGACGGCUUACUGGACCAUAACUGACGCUGAGGAACGAAAGCUAGGGGAGCAAACAGG